ACCGUUUUAGAAACAUCAGUGGCCAACGUCCGUCAGGAUCGUUGAGCUGCAUUGGCGGGAUUUCGCCGUCUUCGUUUCUCUUUCUUCGCGGACGAACACGCGCUGGGGCUGCAACCUUGCAGAAUCCCUGGUCCUUGACUGGAUAUGCGUUAGGGGCUUGUAGCUCAGUUGGUUAGAGCGCGCGCUUGAUAAGCGUGAGGUCGGAAGUUCAAGUCUUCCCAGGCCCACCACACUCAUCGAGUGAGCAUUCGUCUUCUGGUUACGGGGCCAUAGCUCAGCUGGGAGAGCGCGUGCUUUGCAAGCAUGAGGUCGUCGGUUCGAUCCCGUCUGGCUCCACCAGAUGGUUUGAUCACCGGCUGCUCAUACCGUCGUCCGCGAAACAUCACUUCGCACUUACUAGUCCGGAUGGACAGUAAGCUGCGUGAUUUCUGACAUCGUAAAGAGGAGAUCGAUCCGAGUUGGAUCGGGCAACAAGUAAUUGUUGCGCGAUACUUCAUUAUCUCCGGAUCAUUUCGGCGCUCGUGCGUCUUCCAUUGUAGCUCACAAGGCUGCUUUGAAAGACAAGCGAGUUGUAAAUCAUCCUUUUAGCGAAGCUUGACCGCCUCGCUAUCGGAACGAUCUUACGAAGCAAGCUGGUCUUUCUAAUCAUUGUCCGGCUGCAGAUAGCGUUCAUCGAGGGCGCGUGCCGCAAGGUAGUUCUGCAGACAACAUUCUGCCGAGUGUGUGGACAUUGAUAAUGAGAGCAAU
rnacentral:tRNA from 1 species